UAAGGAAUAUUGCGCAAUGGGCGAAAGCCUGACGCAGCGACGCCGCGUGGGGGAUGAAGGUCUUCGGAUUGUAAACCCCUUUCGGGAGGGAAGAUGGAAUGGGGUAACCCAUUCGGACGGUACCUCCAGAAGCAGCCACGGCUAACUUCGUGCCAGCAGCCGCGGUAAUACGAAGGUGGCAAGCGUUAUUCGGAUUUACUGGGCGUACAGGGAGCGUAGGCGGUUCGGUAAGCCCUUUGUGAAAUCUCCAGGCUUAACCUGGAACAGUCGGAGGGGACUGCCGGGCUAGAGGACGGGAGAGGAGCGCGGAAUUCCCGGUGUAGCGGUGAAAUGCGUAGAGAUCGGGAGGAAGGCCGGUGGCGAAGGCGGCGCUCUGGAACGUUUCUGACGCUGAGGCUCGAAAGCGUGGGGAGCAAACAGGAUUAGAUACCCCAGUAGUCCCUGAGCGGGCUGGCAAGGCGCAU
rnacentral:rRNA from 1 species